rnacentral:rRNA from 1 species
CACGUAGGGCGCAAGCGUUGUCCGGAAUUAUUGGGCGUAAAGAGCUCGUAGGCGGUCUGUUACGUCUGCUGUGAAAACCCUGGGCUUAACCCUGGGCUUGCAGUGGAUACGGGCAGACUAGAGGCAGGUAGGGGAGAAUGGAAUUCCCGGUGUAGCGGUGAAAUGCGCAGAUAUCGGGAGGAACACCGGUGGCGAAGGCGGAUCUCUGGGCCGAUACUGACGCUGAGGAGCGAAAGCGUGGGGAGCGAACAGG